CGUGUAGGCCGCAGUGAAGCCUGAGCUCGAGUAGGGCCCAAGCAAGCCAGGAAGGAGGAGGCAGCCAGAGUGUUCUCUGCAGCAGAAGAGCCCUUGCUGCCCUGCUUAACCCAGACCAGCAUUUGCCAGGUUUUCCAUCAUGCGCACUUGAUUGGCACGCAUUCCAGGAGAAAUGCUACUACUACUCCCCCACACAUCGGGACUGGGAAAGCGCCAGACACACAUGCCAGGACUUGGGUGCAGAUCUAGUAGUGAUUGACAAUGAAAAAGAACAGGACUUUCUUGUUUACAUGAGUGAUGGAAGAACAUACUGGAUUGGUUUUAGUGUCAAUAAGAAUGAAAGAGAGUGGAGAUGGGUGGAUGACACACCUGUAUCUUACACAAAUUGGCAGCAGCAUUCAGAAUCAAAUAACCUAGCUAAGAACAGAUCAAGUAAAAACUGCGCCAUUUUAGAAGAAGAAAAGAACUUCCUGUGGGAUGAUGUUAUGUGUAAUAGUUACCAUCUGUUUAUUUGUGAAAAGAACAUGAAGCUUGUCUGCAUCUGGCAGUCUCUUUAUACUUCCCAUUGAAACAACGUUCCUCUUGGAUGUUGUGUCCAUGUAGACAGAAUUGUGUGCACCAUACAAUGCAGGAGUGCCAGAGACGGCAGUUUCUACAACACCCUGCUAGCAUUUCUGCAAGCAUCUCCAGCAGUUACUAGUUUAAUUGAUUUUGCAAGGAAGGAAGGAAAGACACUCUUGAAUGUCAAGGCAUUUAUGAGAGGGAAUUACUGGAUAUGGGUUCUCUUUUAUGUACUUUAUUAAAUUAAAAAAACCUUCCCGUUUCAAAAGUG